GCCUGGGUGGCUCAGUCGGUUGAGUGUCUGACUUCGGCUCAGGUCAUGAUCUCUCAGGUCUGUGGGUUCGAGCCCCGCGUCGGGUU
rnacentral:tRNA from 1 species